GUUCAGGUAGCUCACUGGUUAGAGCAAAGGACUGAAAAUCCUUAUGUCAGUGGUUCGAAUCCACUUCUAAGCA
rnacentral:tRNA from 1 species